CACGUAGGGCGCAAGCGUUGUCCGGAAUUAUUGGGCGUAAAGAGCUCGUAGGCGGACUGUCACGUCCGCUGUGAAAAGCUAGGGCUUAACCCUGGCCUUGCAGUGGAUACGGGCAGACUAGAGGUAGGUAGGGGAGAAUGGAAUUCCCGGUGUAGCGGUGAAAUGCGUAGAUAUCGCUUGGAACGCCAACGGAGAAAUCAGCAGGCUGGGGAUGUGCUGACGCUGAGACGCGAAAGCCAGGGGAGCAAACGGG
rnacentral:rRNA from 1 species